rnacentral:misc_RNA from 1 species
CUUCGUCGACUACCAACUACGUACGCGGGAAGUCAUCCACGACGCCCUCGUUUACGUUCCCGGUUUCCUCCAUGCGAUCGAGGACGCGUCCGUGCCAUGGCGCGACCCCGAUGGGUCGGAGUACUACCGACUGCGGAUCGGCAUCGUCGUCGACAACGUGAAGUCAACGUGGCCGUGCAAGUACCGGCUGGAGCGCGAGUACCACCGGCUGCCCCACGUCCGCGACCCACGCGAUCCAGUCACCGUGCCCGAGCUCGAGUGCCAGGGCGGCGGAAGCAGCAUCGCGGCGGCGUCGGCCUCGGAGCCGGACGACGAUUUCUACGAAGAUCUCGC